rnacentral:rRNA from 1 species
UACGUAGGGUGCAAGCGUUGUCCGGAAUUAUUGGGCGUAAAGAGCUCGUAGGCGGUUUGUUGCGUCGGCUGUGAAAUCCCGAGGCUCAACCUCGGGUCUGCAGUCGAUACGAGCAAACUAGAGUGUUGCAGGGGAGACUGGAAUUCAUGGUGUAGCAGUGAAAUGCGUAGAGAUCAUGAGGAAGACCAGUGGCGAAGGCGGGUCUCUGGACAGUUCCUGACACUGAGACACGAAGGCCAGGGGAGCAAACGGG